UACGUAGGGCCCGAGCGUUGUCCGGAAUCAUUGGGCGUAAAGAGCGUGUAGGCGGCCACUUAAGUCCUGCGUGAAAUCUUGCGGCUCAACCGCAAGCGGUCGUGGGAAACUGGGUGGCUAGAGUCCGGAAGAGGAGUGUGGAAUUCCCGGUGUAGCGGUGAAAUGCGCAGAUAUCAGGAGGAACACCAAUGGCGAAGGCAGCUCGCUGGGACGGUACUGACGCUGAGACGCGAAAGCGUGGGGAGCAAACAGG
rnacentral:rRNA from 1 species